UUAUAAAACAUCGAUAUAAUAAUAUAAUAUAAAAUAUUUUUUCAAUAUGAUUAUAAAAAUAAGGAAAAUUUAGAUCAGCUACUGUAUCAUACAGUAAUCGUGUUUGUCUUCGUACACGCCCACCCACCGUUUUAUCGUUAAACGCGUGUAGAAACUUAAACUACAAUAGCGGGUUCCUAGAAUCUAGUGCCUGGACGGAUUAGAUUUACAAUUGGGCCCUACAAAAGUGGCACUGCAAUCGGAGUCAAGAAAAUUUUUAACAAAGACGUGUCUUAAAUAACACAUAUUGUGUGAAUAUUAGAUGUCAAUGAUUUCGAGAACCACUCAUUCGAUUGUAAUUUUUUUUUUUUUAUAAAAGAACACUCUAAAGAGUA